rnacentral:rRNA from 1 species
UACGUAGGGGGCAAGCGUUGUCCGGAUUUAUUGGGCGUAAAGAGCGUGUAGGCGGCUUGGUAGGUCCGCUGUGAGAACUCGAGGCUCAACCUCGAGAUGUCGGCGGAAACCACUUGGCUAGAGUCCGGAAGAGGAGAGUGGAAUUCCCGGUGUAGCGGUGAAAUGCGCAGAUAUCGGGAAGAACACCUAUGGCGAAGGCAGCUCUCUGGGACGGUACUGACGCUGAGACGCGAAAGCGUGGGGAGCGAACAGG